UGUAUCUGAAGUCUGACGAGGAUGAGAACCUCCGGGGGCAAGAGGUUCGACUCGAGCGAAGCGAGAGAACGUUGCGUCAGCAACGGCCCGCAGGGCGAGCCACGCAGUGGCGAGUCAU
rnacentral:sRNA from 2 species